CUCUCCUCAGCCAAUGGAUAUCCUUACCGGAACUCCUCACUCAAGCGUGGCCAGACGGCUGAGCAGACACAGGUCGGGGAUGCCUUCUAACAGAACAUCACUCCACAUGGAAAUAGGAAUUUCGAGGCCCAGGGGGUGGCUGUGCCCAAGAGAUUUUCCAAAAUCCGCUACGAUUUCACCGCGUGAAACGCCAAUGAGCUCUCGGUGCUGAAGGAUGAAAUCCCGGAGGUGUUGGAAGAUAAUAAGCAGUGGUGGAAGUUGCUCAACCGGAGUGGGCAGGCCGGUUAUGUUCCCUACAAUAUCCUGGAUGUGGUGAAACUGGAAGAGCUCAAACAGGUCUGUAGUCAAGUAAUACCUGACUGGUAUCAGCUGCAAGGCACAAUCUGCCUCUGGGAAUAAUGUUGUCAUUAGACCUCCCUGGAUUUCUUAGGAUACUAUGCACAAAUCAGGACAGACCCUCAGAAGCAGACAAAGCCAGGAGAUUCCUGAGUCUCCAAGUUGAACUUUCUGGUUCCGACUGCUAGAGUGAAUCUGCAAACAAGCGAGUGCCACGCACGCUUCCUCUUGCAGCCUGGGCGAUUCACACACCAGCCCGCUGCUCUGCCUUCAUUCUUAUGCUCUUUGUAGCAUGUCGCGCUUUCGUUUUGCUGGGGACGAACAGUCGUCUGCUUCUCGCCCAGAGAGCACGGUGCCGGCAGCAAAAGCCUCCAGGCUGCUGCUUCUGCUGAAACACGCCUGGGCUCUGCACUUUCCCUCUCAGCGCUAGGUAGCAGCACAUUCUGUCUGCCUUGUAGCCUGAAUCUUAACGGAAAGCUUCUCGGCUACGUCUGGCACAGAGAACAGGUUUAGGUCAACGAGCUUACCCAGAGCUUGCUCCCGAUGCGUGGAAACUUGGAUUUGCAGCACAUUCCAGGGGUACUCUUCUUUCCUUUCCAGCCUGCACAGCGCCGGCAGAUCGUGGUGCUCUCUGCCGCCUUCUUCUCGCUUCCAAAGUACCAGCACGCACCUUGCAGCCUUGCAGAGAGCAAAGAGGCGGAUAGCCGUCUCGCCCAGAAGAAGGUGCCAGGACGAAAAGGUGUUCUUCCUUUCCGCUCGUCGUCGCCCGGAUUGUGGUGCUGUGUUGAAAGCCUCGGCCAGCGAAAGGCUAAUGCAGCAAGUGCUUCUCUCCUGAAGCAUUUGGCUGAGCGAGAGCUACACACACGGUUUGGACACUGGAAAGCAGCAAGAAAAAUGAUUGGACCUCGAGCUGAGGAAAAUCCCUGCACCGAACCCUGUGCAUGCGUGCAGUAUACACUCGGAAGAGCGGGACAGCUCCGAGCCAUCGCUGCGCUUCACUUCUGUCCAGAGCACAGAGGGCGAAGAACGAAGCAGCCGGGCACCGGGCUCACGCGCUCAGUGCACCGAAUUGCAUAAGUAAGUUCAGCACAAAGCUGCUUCACAAGCACAUGCAGCUGAGAAUGCUGCGGCAGCUUCAGAGAGUAAGGCGCAGCCGUUGCACUCCAUCACACAAGCUGGCCAGAAACAGUUUCUUACCCCUGCAGUGUUGCAGAGUCCACGCAGCUUGAGCGCACGCAGAAGGACGCGUCCAGAAAGAAGGCGUUCUUCAAGUCCCCCUUCUCUAAGCAGCCUUGAAACUGAGCGCAACACACUGCGCCUAGGCAGCUUCUUUCUCCGAGAGACGUGCCCUCCUCACAUGAUGCACUCUCGCAGCUCCCUUGCCCACUUGCAGCAGCUGCUCCCAAAGAAAAAGGCUCCAGGGGGAACAGCCACUGCUGGGCUGAACCUUCCCCUUGCCUCACGUCAAGCACCAGAAACUGUCCUCUGCACUCUGUUUUUCCCUUCUCCACCGCAUCUACCACUGUCAUCUCUGCAUCUCCAAGCAUCAAGCUAGCAGAAUUGGUUCCAGGGAAUACUGGAAGAGAACUAGGUAGCAGCACAAGUAGCCGCAAGUUGAACUUUCUGGUUGCGACUGCUAAAGUGAAUCCGCAAACAAGCGAGUGGCAGGCACGCUUCCUCUUGCAGCCUGGGCGAUUCACGCACCAGCCCGCUGCUCUGCCUUCGUUCUUAUGCUCUUUGUAGCAUGUCGCGCUUUCGUUUUGCUGGGGACGAACAGUCGUCUGCUUCUUGCCCAGAGAGCAUGGUGCCGGCAGCGAAAUGCUCCAGGCUGCUGCGUGCCUGGGCUAUGCACUUUCCCUCGCAGCGCUGGGUAGCACAACAUUCUCUCUGCGUUGUGGUCUUAAGCUUUAGGGAAU
rnacentral:lncRNA from 13 species